rnacentral:rRNA from 1 species
ACGGCCGCGGUAUUUUGACCGUGCGAAGGUAGCGCAAUCACUUGUCUUUUAAAUGGAGACCUGUAUGAAUGGCAUCACGAGGGCUUAACUGUCUCCCCUCCCCAGUCAAUGAAAUUGAUCUCCCCGUGCAGAAGCGGGGAUAAGAACAUAAGACGAGAAGACCCUAUGGAGCUUUAGACGUCAGAGCAGUUCAUGUUAAACACCCCUGAACAAAGGAACAAACCAAAUGAGACCUGCCCUAAUGUCUUUGGUUGGGGCGACCGCGGGGAAAUACAAAACCCCCAUGUGGAAUGGGAGCACAUACUCCUAAAUCCAAGAGCUCCCGCUCUAAAAAACAGAAAUUCUGGCCAACAAGAUCCGGCACAUGCCGAUCAACGGACCGAGUUACCCUAGGGAUAACAGCGCAAUCCCCUUAAAGAGCCCUUAUCGACAAGGGGGUUUACGACCUCGAUGUUGGAUCAGGACAUCCUAAUGGUGC